rnacentral:rRNA from 1 species
AUGAAGUGCGGCGUGCUACCAUGCAAGUCGAACGGAAAGGCCCUUCGGGGUGCUCGAGUGGCGAACGGGUGAGUAACACGUGGGUGAUCUGCCCUGCACUUUGGGAUAAGCCUGGGAAACUGGGUCUAAUACCGAAUAGGACCACGGCAUUCAUGUGCUGUGGUGGAAAGCUUUUGCGGUGUGGGAUGGGCCCGCGGCCUAUCAGCUUGUUGGUGGGGUAAUGGCCUACCAAGGCGACGACGGGUAGCCGGCCUGAGAGGGUGACCGGCCACACUGGGACUGAGAUACGGCCCAGACUCCUACGGGAGGCAGCAGUGGGGAAUAUUGCACAAUGGGCGCAAGCCUGAUGCAGCGACGCCGCGUGAGGGAUGACGGCCUUCGGGUUGUAAACCUCUUUCAGUACCGACGAAGCGCGAGUGACGGUAGGUACAGAAGAAGGACCGGCCAACUACGUGCCAGCAGCCGCGGUAAUACGUAGGGUCCGAGCGUUGUCCGGAAUUACUGGGCGUAAAGAGCUCGUAGGUGGUUUGUCGCGUUGUUCGUGAAAACUCACAGCUUAACUGUGGGCGUGCGGGCGAUACGGGCAGACUGGAGUACUGCAGGGGAGACUGGAAUUCCUGGUGUAGCGGUGGAAUGCGCAGAUAUCAGGAGGAACACCGGUGGCGAAGGCGGGUCUCUGGGCAGUAACUGACGCUGAGGAGCGAAAGCGUGGGGAGCGAACAGGAUUAGAUACCCUGGUAGUCCACGCCGUAAACGGUGGGUACUAGGUGUGGGUUUCCUUCCUUGGGAUCCGUGCCGUAGCUAACGCAUUAAGUACCCCGCCUGGGGAGUACGGCCGCAAGGCUAAAACUCAAAGGAAUUGACGGGGGGCCCGCACAAGCGGCGGAGCAUGUGGAUUAAUUCGAUGCAACGCGAAGAACCUUACCUGGGUUUGACAUGCACAGGACGUGCCUAGAGAUAGGUAUUUCCCUUGUGGCCUGUGUGCAGUGGUGCAUGGCUG